rnacentral:rRNA from 1 species
AAUGAACGCUGGCGGCAUGCCUAACACAUGCAAGUCGAACGAGACCACCGGGACUAGUGGCGCAUGGGGGCGUAGCGCGUGGGAAGCGUCACUUAUGGUCGGAAUAACUCUCCGACAGGGGUGCUAAUGGCGGAUAAUGUCUUCGAACCAAAGAUAUAUCGCGCUUGGAUGGUCACGAGUUGGAUUAGCUAGUUGGUAGGGUAAAAGCCUACCACGGCGACGAUCCAUAGCUGGGUAGUGAGGAUGAUCAGCCACACCGGGACUGAGACACGGCCCAGACUCCUCCGCGAUGCGGGAGUGCGGAAUAUUGGAACAUCGGCGGAAGGAUGAACCAGCUCUGACGGGUGAGCGCUGAAGGUAUUAAGGAUGUAAAGCUCUUUUACCCGUGAUGAUAAUGACGGUACCGAGAGAAUAAGCUCCGGCUAACUCCGUG